rnacentral:tRNA from 1 species
GGGGAUGUGGCUCAGUGGUAGAGCACUCACCUAGCAUGUGCGAGGCCCUGGGUUCAAUCCCCAGUACCACA